rnacentral:rRNA from 1 species
AACGAACGCUGGCGGCACGUUUUAAGCAUGCAAGUCGAAUGGCAGUGGGGGCAACCCCAUGAGAAUGGCGAACGGGUGAGUAACACGUAGGUGAUCUGCCUGACGGAUGGGGAUAGCUUGUGGAAAUACAGGGUAAUACCGAAUGAGCUGACGAGACUUUGGUUUUGUUAGUAAAGGUGCUACGGCACCGCCGACAGAGGAGCCUGCGGCUGAUUGGCUAGUUGGUGGGGUAAAGGCCUACCAAGGCGACGAUCAGUAGCCGGCCUGAGAGGGUGUACGGCCACACUGGAACUGAGACACGGUCCAGACUCCUACGGGAGGCAGCAGCUAAGAAUCUUCCGCAAUGGGCGAAAGCCUGACGGAGCGAUGCCGCGUGAUCGAUGAAGGUCGAGAGAUUGUAAAGAUCUUUUCUACAUGAGGAAUAAGUCUGGGAGGGAAUGCCUGGAUGAUGACGUUAGUGUAGGAAUAAGCCCCGGCUAAUUACGUGCCAGCAGCCGCCGUAA